UGUCCUGAAAAGAGUAAAUGAAGAUCAUUUACAGGCAUCUUUCAUCAAAACAUUUUAAAAACACUUUGAAAACAGGCUGUUAGUGCAAGAGACUGAUUGAUUCAGCAUUCUCAGAGGAUGUAACUUCUCCUUAUUGUUCUUCCAGUGUGCUGCCUGAAGCUUGCUGGCUUCCCUGGAGGAAAGUUUUACCUUGCUUCCCCAGUUUCAGGUUUAAAGCUGAAGUGGGAAAUUUCAGCUAUAUAAGAUACAGUCUUACAACUCUCAAAUAUAUGAAAUAUCUACAGCUUAAUUUUACUGGAAGUAUUUGAUAGAUCAGAGUUAUAAACUUCACUGUGUAAAACAGAAUUCUUCCACUCUGUUUAGCUCUUGGAAGGCUCCAGGUGUGUCUGUCUGGGGAAAUAAAACUUAAGGGGGAUGGAGCCUGCUGAAAGAAAUCUAGAAGCAAGCAAGAAGAGAAUCAGAAGUCUCAAAAAUGCACAGUUUGGGAGAAAAAAAUGAAUGUAUGUCCUGAAUAGAACAAGAAGCACAAGAACUGGAUUGGAGCCAAAGAGAGUUUCAUUUCACAUAAAAAUGCUCUUCGGGUGGACAACAUGCUUUAGGAGUAGAACAAGACACCCAGACAGGUGCAAAAUUGGCAUCAUCGGAAGGUGAGACUACAUUAAACUGCUGUCACCAGCCCUGGCUAUCAGCAGAGUUGAUCAGACAUGGGUAUAGACAAGCAUCUCUUCCAUACAUCGUAAGUUCUGAUGUUGCAUUUGAAAUCACAAUUUUUGUACUUAAUAUUGAUAUGAGCUUAGAGCCAGAAAAGUUAGAGAAUCCUUGACAUUCCUGUGAAUCUCCUUUCAUUCUUACUAAUACUUCACCUGUUAUUUAAGCUUCCUGUUACACAACUCUAUACAUAUUUUUAGUUUUCAGCUGUGCGAAUAUGGUUGUCAUGAGAAGAAUGCAAAAUCCACAUUCCCAAAGUUUACAUAGUUCUUUAAAGAGUGUCUGAAAUAAAUCCCACAGUGUCCUGGAUUUAAAAAUCCUGAGAAACCAGAAACAUGUAAUUUGUUAUUUCUGAGAAACUGAAUCUCCCAAGUUUCUGCAAAUCAAAGAAACUAUUUAGUGAAUGUGUCAUAUUGGAAAUGGAUGGGCAGAGAGGCAAGAAAUUAGCACUAGAUCAGAAAAAGAAACUCAGUAGGAAGCCAGGAGAGGCAUCAGGCUCUGGAUAAGUUUGUUUCAUUAUUAAGUUCCUAGUCUAAGAUUUUAUUAAAGGGACAAUCUUUAUUUAUAAAUUUUUAAGCUGCCUGUCUUCUCCUCAGUGGCCCUUUCAGGCUUAGGAUUUUUUAUUCUAAUAUUAUAAAUACCUCCAAACUGACGUAAAAAUUAGCCACUGGUUUUGAGAUAGAUACACUGGAAGUAACUGGGAAGAUGAAUAAUGUAUUUUCUAGAUUUUGAAAAUGUUUUGGCAAGAAAUGUUUGUUAAACUUCCAUGAUCAUACUCUUUACUCAAACCUUUGCAUCUGAAGUUUGCAGUGUCUGAUCAGAAGUCUGAGAUCUUGGUCAUAAAUUAACCAAAGGGUGACUGAUGCCUUAAACCAGAGGGGAUUUAGAAAGCCAUGACACUAUUGGAGGAUACCUGGAUUCUCCCCAAAAGCCAUCCCACCCUCCAUUUCCUCAUGCCACUCACAAAUAGGGGAGGUUUUUGCUCUCCCUACUCAUAACACAGAACUGGUGUCUUCAAAUAGGUUUUAAAAGCUGCAGAAGCAAAAUCCAGUUAAUCACUGGCUCAGGCCCAGCAGAGCUGAGGCUCACACUUAAGGACCAAGCAGCCAGACACAAUUCCUCAGGGAAAAGAUCAAGAUGACUUUUUUAAUGAAAGCUCCUUAUAACUUGACAAAUUCUAGUCAAGCAUUUAGCAUGAGGUGAGUCUGCUGGCAUUAUUUACUGUACUGUGAAGGCUCAGGAUUUCACACAUGUUUUCACAUGGGAAUAACUGCUUAGCUCCUGCCAAGGAACGGGCUAUGCUCCAGCAGAUCUCUCAUCCCACUGCCUAGUGCUGGGCCACAGAGCCAUGCACCAUCUCCUCUGUGAGGCUUGUGCCUGGCUGGCCAGCAGCAUUUCACACCCUAAAAAUACACAUCUAAAAAUUCAACUGUAAACACGUCUAACAAUCAGGAACCCUUGGUAUCAAGUGGCCUGAUGAGAACCCCUUUGAGUGCAGGUUUGUAAUUAGUCUGCUGGGCUCAGUUUCCACCCCCCUGGAGAGGAUGGUCUUCAGCUGUGGGGAAAGAAAGGCCCAGGGCUUUGAAAAAGGCCCAGCAGUGCUGCCAGGUUUGGUUUUCUGUUCCUUGAGGAAUUUGGUUGGGAGUAUUGACUCACUUGUGUGCUUGCAUGGACAUCACUGAGGAGAGGCUUGCAAACUAAAUAACAUGUUUAAUUCUUUGGGUUUUCUUAAAACUUUUCACUGCUUUAACACUCUUUUACCUUUUUUUAUUUUUUUUAAUGUAUAAAUACCCUCUGAAGAUUGCUUGCAGAAGCAAUGUCAGAAUAGAAAUGGGGGGCUUAUGUGUAUUUGUUCCUUCUGACUGAAGUGGGGAAAAGGGGCAGGAAAAUGGUUUUCCCUCCUGCCUAGCAGCUGGAUGUGUGUGUGGCUGCCACCAGGUAAAGCUCUCUGCACUGGAAAGGACUGGGGAGAGCAGGUGUUUGUUCAAGGGUGCCCAGUCUGGCUACAACUCCCAGUGCCCUGCCCCACAGAAGGUGAUGUUCAGGCAGGGGAAGGCUCCAGAGCUGUUUACCAUUCUUUCCCCCUUUCUGUUCAUCAGGGUGGCCAGCUGUAGGAAAAGCCCAGCACGUGUCCUACACCAGCGUAGGAAAAGCCUGACCAGCCUGGCCUCCUGGCUAAUUUCCUAAUCAAGUGCAGGGAUACAGAAUGCUUUUGUUUUUUAAACUGUGACAGAAGUAUUGCACAGCCUGUCCUGGGCAUGUGAGUUCCUUGUGCUGGUUGUUUAUCCUCUUGUGGGAAAAAGAGAGAGGGCACUGGAGAAGACAGUAUUGACCUGAGAAAGCUUUAGCAGACAUUAGUAAUGAAUGUGCUCUGUCUGCACUCACUCGAGGUUGAAGAGGUGACAGCCAGACCUGAGGCUUCUGAGCCAUCAUCUGUUCCUAAACAAAUAAAGGACCAGGAGUCUGGGGGAAAGAGCUAAAAUAAGAGAGAGCCUGCUGAAUCAA